UACGUAGGGGGCUAGCGUUGUCCGGAUUUAUUGGGCGUAAAGAGCGUGUAGGCGGCCAGAUAAGUCCGCUGUGAAAUCUCGAGGCUCAACUUCGAGCUGUCGGUGGAAACUGUCUGGCUAGAGUCCGGAAGAGGAGAAUGGAAUUCCUGGUGUAGCGGUGAAAUGCGCAGAUAUCAGGAAGAACACCCGUGGCGAAGGCGGUUCUCUGGGACGGUACUGACGCUGAGACGCGAAAGCGUGGGGGAGCGAACAGG
rnacentral:rRNA from 1 species